UACGUAGGGUGCAAGCGUUGUCCGGAAUUAUUGGGCGUAAAGAGCUCGUAGGCGGUUUGUCGCGUCUGCUGUGAAAAACCCGAGGCUCAACCUCGGGCCUGCAGUGGGUACGGGCAGACUAGAGUGCGGUAGGGGAGAUUGGAAUUCCUGGUGUAGCGGUGGAAUGCGCAGAUAUCAGGAGGAACACCAAUGGCGAAGGCGGGUCUCUGGGCAGUAACUGACGCUGAGGAGCGAAAGCGUGGGGAGCGAACAGG
rnacentral:rRNA from 1 species